rnacentral:lncRNA from 1 species
GCAGGAGGAAAACAUACUGUUCUUUGCAAUCUGAUCACCUCCGUGCAAGCCUCUGGGUUACACACCCGGGGACGCUGGGGCCCAGAGGCGUAGAUUAGCCCAGGCAGGAAAACCGAGCGUGGUGACUGGUCCUGCGCAGAUUAGAAACACAUUGUUGGAGAAGGGGGGUCGGGGGCGAGACUGUGCACGGCAGCAUGGCUGGAGUCUGGGUGUGGGGCCCCGGCGAGCGGGCCGGGCGCGGAGGGGGCAGAAGAAGGAGUGCGGAUAAUGCUCUGUUUGUGAGCUGAGAUUCCAGCUCCUGGGGUGGCCCCUGGCAGCUGCCUAGGCCUCACAGGGAGAAAUCGGGAACAACAAAGGCGCUGGGACAAAAGCGGCUCUGGCCAGAGGGGCUGCGGGCUCUGUGGGGCCAACAGCACUUCAGUUCUGAGGGGCACGGCUCCACCCUGGUAUGAGGCUGGAGGCGGACUGUCAAAUGGAGCUUACCGAGGAAAGGGAACUCAAGUUUUCUGGGUUACUGACACCGAGUUGUCCCAAACCACAUCAGUGCCUGUUGAAAUGUUAACUAUCCGCCAGCUGGGAAUUUUGUCACUGGGAAACCGGUAUAGCAAGCGCCCGUUAGCUUCCCGCCCAGGCAAGGACAUUGAGGGGUGUGAAGACCAAAGUAUGUCUUCCUGUCUUUGCUUCUGAGCUGACACUCGAGAAACUGUGAGACCCACAGCCCCUCAAAUCCCCCUUCUUCUGCCGGCUCCUCAUACCUGCUGAGCAAUCAUGAAAAUUCUCCCGCAGCCUGUACUCUAGCGCCCCCUGCUGGGAAUGACUGCUAACUCGUGGCUGAUUUGGCUGGGAAUCUGGCUGAUAGCAGCUAGGUUAACGUCGCCUCGCCCAGCUUUAUGAGGCCCACCUGGCCUUUCGCUCGGCCAACCUGUGAAUCCCAGGCUGCCGAAAUGGAGCAGGUGAACUUAACCACUACGCCGCUGGGCCAGCCUGGAAUCUGUGCUUUUAAGACUCUGAUGAUAAGCACGUUUGGCAAGAACUGAACUAGACACCUGGUCCACAGGCCUCUGUGUUCCAUAGUCUGGCCUCUCCAGGGGAGGAAGAGUCGGUUAGUUUAGCUCAAAACAGGGCUGGGAAUGGAAGGCGACUGAACCCCGGAAGACGGAAGUCGGCAAGAAGCUAUGAAGGCGCAGAAGCUAUUUGAAUUCUGGCCCGGGGAAGAGCAUUGCAGUCUGAGCCCUCCCGGGUGGGGCUCUCCGUGGCCAGCUCACAGCUGCCGGCAGAAGACCCCUUCUCGUGAUAAAAUAAGCGAAGAGUAGGUGUAUAUUUGUCUUCUGAGUUCUCAGCAAGAUCUGGAUGGAGCUGAUUCAGGAAAUACUUAGUUCUCCACUGUCGAUGGCUCUCCAUCCAUCAAGACCCUGGCAUGCCAUCCCUUAAGGGAGAAGUUCAGAUAUAGCCUAGAACAGCGCUUCUCAAACUUUCUGUGUUCUACUUUCUUUCAAGAAGAAUUGAAAGCUUCUCAUUAUACGUGUCCCAGGAAGAAGAAUGACUGACACCAAACCCUUCUUGUGCCCGAGGCUGCAGUUUUCAGCAGCGCCUUUCCAGCUUCACAGGGAGGCUCUAUUCGGUUCACUGUUCAUCAGCAUGAUCUGACAACGAACUCGCAUCGCCCCUGAAAGUCUACUUCUCUUUAUUUCUUUUGAUUAUUUUUAUUUUAGUAAAGAGAAUCCCAUAUUCAACAAAGAAGGCAAGGUGUCUAAUGUCACAGGAAUCGAGCAGGGUCCUUCACUCACUGAUAGUGCCUUCUGGAGUCCUAGAAACUCUUCUAGCCAUUUCCCCAAGCCCGUGUUUACUACUGCAGGAACCCCUGGCCCCCAGGAGCACUUCUCAAGAGCACCCACUCACACCCCAGGCUUGGAUUUAAAAACUUGAGGUCACUGAAUCCACAUUAGCAUGGGACGUGAUAUGCCUGAAAUUAAGAGGCACCCUCACACCCAGUGCUCCUUCAGGCAUUACCAGUUAGAUCCCCCUUGAGUCU